rnacentral:rRNA from 1 species
GACAGAGGGUGCAAACGUUGUUCGGAAUUACUGGGCGUAAAGCGCGCGCAGGCGGUCCUUUAAGUCAGGGGUGAAAGCCCAGAGCUCAACUCUGGAACGGCCUUUGAAACUAGAGGACUUGGGUACGGGAGAGGUGAGUGGAAUUCCGAGUGUAGAGGUGAAAUUCGUAGAUAUUCGGAAGAACACCAGUGGCGAAGGCGGCUCACUGGCCCGUUACCGACGCUCAGGCGCGACAGCGCUGGGGAGCAAACAGG